UGACCGGCUGGUUGUUCAGCGAAACCGACCGGGUGAUCACCAAAAUGUCCUGGAACAGAAACACGUGGAGCUUCUGCAAAACCACAGAAAAAUGAUGAAAGUUUGCUCUCCGUGGCAGCUGAGCGUCUUGGAUCCGUCGAUCAAUUCGUCCCGCCGUCCUUCAUCUGAGUACAGCAGGCGGUCCUUAUAGUGCUGACACUCCGACUCUCCGGUCCGCCUGUUGAUGUCCGCCACCACACUCUGCACCAUCAGCAUCUGUGGGGCCAGAGACCAGCUAAUUAUGCUGCCUUCAGAUUGCAAACUAAACUGGGAAAUUAUGACUUCCGGGUCGGAAAAAUCAAACUGGGAGGAACUCCGAACAGUUUCGGCUUUUAAGGCUGAAUUCGCGUUUCAGUAUGGCCGCUCCUCACACCAACAGCAAUAAGCUGAGGUGGAAAUGUGUUUAUUUUACAAAACACACAUUUAAAAGUGCGUCUAAAAUCAGUGCUACACGUAGCGCCUGAAAGUCUUAACUAGUCAGGACCGUUGUAGAUGGGAAAGAAAAUAAGGGUAAAUUUCCGCAAAACUCCAAAAUUUUAGAUUGAUUUAAAAAAAAUGUGUGCAAAAAAAUCUUGAAAAGUCAAAAAUUUGCUAGAAAAACAAUGAAAAUCUUUGACUUUAAAUAAAUGUCUGGAAGAACCAGCAGACCAGUCAUCAGGGCUGGGUUUCCUCACCGCCUCCUCCAGGUGCUGCCGGUCCAGGUGGUCGUUGGGCGUGUGCUUCAGGAUCUCUCUGAGCAGCAGCGGGUACUUCACCAGCCGGCUGCGAGGGAUGUCCAGGAAGUUCCACAGGUCCAACUUCCUGCUGAACGGAGACUGCAGGCAGCGCUGCAAGAAGUCCUGGACCCGCCGGUCCUGCUUCUUCUGGUCCAGCAGGGCCUUGGCCUGCACCUGGUUGCUGCAGUACGGCGUGUAGGAGGAGAGACAAGGCAGCUGCAGGGACACAAGCACAUCGCCAUGAGGAUUCCCGCCCAGCUUCAAAGCCGAUCUUAUGAGACGGAGAAACGCUUACCCAGCCGGUCAGGAUGUGGCCGAUAUUUUCCGUGGUUCCGUCGGGUUUUCUGGCGUCUCGUAGCCGACUCAGCAAGUCUGAGAAAAGUCAGAAAUUGUUGCUACACUGCAAAAACACAAACUCUUUCCACAGAAUGUUGGUCUAAAUUCAAGAGUAAAUAUCCUAGUACACUUGAUAAAAGACACAACUAACUGAAAAGUAACAUUUCAGCAAUAAAUAGGAGCUUGUUUUAAGCCAA